rnacentral:rRNA from 1 species
AGAGUUUGAUCCUGGCUCAGGACGAACGCUGGCGGCACGCUUAACACAUGCAAGUCGAACGAGAGAAGAGAAGCUUGCUUUUCUGAUCUAGUGGCGGACGGGUGAGUAACACGUGAGCAAUCUGCCUUUCAGAGGGGGAUACCGAUUGGAAACGAUCGUUAAUACCGCAUAACAUAAUUGAACCGCAUGAUUUGAUUAUCAAAGAUUUAUCGCUGAAAGAUGAGCUCGCGUCUGAUUAGCUAGUUGGUAAGGUAACGGCUUACCAAGGCGACGAUCAGUAGCCGGACUGAGAGGUUGAUCGGCCACAUUGGGACUGAGACACGGCCCAGACUCCUACGGGAGGCAGCAGUGGGGAAUAUUGCACAAUGGAGGAAACUCUGAUGCAGCGAUGCCGCGUGAGGGAAGAAGGUUUUAGGAUUGUAAACCUCUGUCUUCAGGGACGAAAAAAGACGGUACCUGAGGAGGAAGCUCCGGCUAACUACGUGCCAGCAGCCGCGGUAAUACGUAGGGAGCGAGCGUUGUCCGGAAUUACUGGGUGUAAAGGGAGCGUAGGCGGGAUCGCAAGUCAGAUGUGAAAACUAUGGGCUUAACCCAUAAACUGCAUUUGAAACUGUGGUUCUUGAGUGAAGUAGAGGUAAGCGGAAUUCCUAGUGUAGCGGUGAAAUGCGUAGAUAUUAGGAGGAACAUCAGUGGCGAAGGCGGCUUACUGGGCUUUAACUGACGCUGAGGCUCGAAAGCGUGGGGAGCAAACAGGAUUAGAUACCCUGGUAGUCCACGC